GUGCUUAACACAUGCAAGUCGAACGGAAAGGUCUCUUCGGAGAUACUCGAGUGGCGAACGGGUGAGUAACACGUGGGUGAUCUGCCCUGCACUUCGGGAUAAGCCUGGGAAACUGGGUCGUAAUACCGGAUAGGACCACGGGAUGCAUGUCUUGUGGUGGAAAGCGCUUUAGCGGUGUGGGAUGAGCCCGCGGCCUAUCAGCUUGUUGGUGGGGUGACGGCCUACCAAGGCGACGACGGGUAGCCGGCCUGAGAGGGUGUCCGGCCACACUGGGACUGAGAUACGGCCCAGACUCCUACGGGAGGCAGCAGUGGGGAAUAUUGCACAAUGGGCGCAAGCCUGAUGCAGCGACGCCGCGUGGGGGAUGACGGCCUUCGGGUUGUAAACCUCUUUCACCAUCGACGAAGGUCCGGGUUCUCUCGGAUUGACGGUAGGUGGAGAAGAAGCACCGGCCAACUACGUGCCAGCAGCCGCGGUAAUACGUAGGGUGCGAGCGUUGUCCGGAAUUACUGGGCGUAAAGAGCUCGUAGGUGGUUUGUCGCGUUGUUCGUGAAAUC
rnacentral:rRNA from 1 species